GGCUGGGUAGCUCAGUUGGUUAGAGCAUUGGCCCAAUGCACCAAGGUUGUGGGUUCAAUCCCCAGUCAGGGCA
rnacentral:tRNA from 1 species